AUUUUAAAUCUUAAGAGAGAAAAGUGGGUGGUGAUUGAAGAUGAGUCUGGGUCAAACGAUGAAGGCGAGAUGAACAUCCAAGUCCUGAUGGUUCAUCUGACAUGUAGGCCUCAAAGGAGGAAAGCAAAAACACCUGAUCUCUUGAGCAAGAAAGCAAAGACGGAUGCUUCACCGAGAAGGGGAGGACGAACUUCGACUGGGAAAUCCAAGGGUGCUGCCAUGAAGUCUUGUCGCAAAACAAAGGACGAAGCUAAAAUGGAUG